rnacentral:rRNA from 1 species
UACGAACGCUGGCGGCAGGCCUAAUACAUGCAAGUCGAACGAACCCUUCGGGGUGAGUGGCGCACGGGUGAGUAACGCGUGGGAACGUGCCCCUGGGUGCGGAACAACAGCUGGAAACGGCUGCUAAUACCGCAUAAUGACUUCGGUCCAAAGAUUUAUCGCCCAGGGAUCGGCCCGCGUCUGAUUAGCUAGUUGGUAGGGUAACGGCCUACCAAGGCUCCGAUGGGUAGCCGACCUGAGAGGGUGACCGGCCACACUGGGACUGAGAUACGGCCCAGACUCCUACGGGAGGCAGCAGUAGGGAAUAUUGCGCAAUGGAGGCAACUCUGACGCAGCAACGCCGCGUGGAUGAUGAAGCUCUUUGGAGUGUAAAGUCCUGUCGCCAGGGAAGAAACGGUGGACGAGGAAAUGCGUCUGCCCUGACGGUACCUGGAGAGGAAGUUCCGGCUAACUCCGUGCCAGCAGCCGCGGUAACACGGGGGAACGAGCGUUGUUCGGAUUUACUGGGCGUAAAGGGUG